UACGGGGGGGGCGAGCGUUGUUCGGAAUUACUGGGCGUAAAGGGUGCGUAGGCGGUUCUCUAAGUCGGAUGUGAAAACUCUGGGCUCAACCCAGAGCCUGCAUCCGAAACUGGAGUGCUAGAGUUCUGGAGGGGGUAGCGGAAUUCCUGGUGUAGCGGUGAAAUGCGUAGAUAUCAGGAGGAACACCGAUGGCGAAGGCAGGUCUCUGGGCCGAUACUGACGCUGAGGAGCGAAAGCGUGGGGAGCGAACAGG
rnacentral:rRNA from 1 species